rnacentral:rRNA from 1 species
UGGGGAAUCUUCCGCAAUGGGCGCAAGCCUGACCCAGCAACGCCGUGUGAGGGAUGAAGGCCUUCGGGUCGUAAACCUCUGUCAGAAGGGAAGAACGGGCACAGUUCGAAUAGGGCUGUGUUGUGACGGUACCUUCAGAGGAAGCACCGGCUAACUCCGUGCCAGCAGCCGCGGUAAUACGGAGGGUGCGAGCGUUAUUCGGAAUCACUGGGCGUAAAGGGCGCGUAGGCGGCCUGGUAAGUCAGGGGUGAAAUCCCACGGCUCAACCGUGGAAUUGCCUUUGAAACUGCUGGGCUUGGAUCCUGGAGAGGGUGGCGGAAUUCCUGGUGUAGGAGUGAAAUCCGUAGAUAUCAGGAGGAACACCGGUGGCGAAGGCGGCCACCUGGACAGGUAUCGACGCUGAGGCGCGAAAGUGUGGGGAGCAAACAGGAUUAGAUACCCUGGUAGUCCACACCGUAAACGAUGGAUACUAGGUGUUGGGGGCAUGACCCUCAGUGCCGGAGCUAACGCGUUAAGUAUCCCGCCUGGGGAGUACGGUCGCAAGGCUG